rnacentral:lncRNA from 1 species
UUUUUUUUCUAAAGUAAGGUGAUAAAAGGAAAGAAAAAAUCCAAUCAAAUUUAUAGAGGAGAAAAACAAGAAAAAUCGUAUCGUCUCUCCGAGCAGAAAAGAUUAUCGUAACGAUUCUUUCUGGAUAUUACAAUAAGCCACUCUUUCAUCGACAUUCUUUCGAAAGGAAGAGAAUAAUUCGAGAUAAAAGCCUACAAAAGAAUAAUAUGGACUUCGGCCAAGAAUAUAGAAGGGGUUUAGCAAGAAAAGUUGAGAAUUUUUGGCCAUGCUUUCUGAUUUAUUGCUUUUCUCUCUCUCUUUCUCUCUUUUUUUUUUCUGUUGUUGUUUCGGUGUUAGUCUUGGAUAGACGCGAUAAUAAGGAACAAUUUUGCGAAACGGUUAUUUGGCGAAAGAAGAAGAACGUCUCAAUUACUAUGUUGCACUUUUGUAAAAAUAUUCGGCGUUGGGGCGCCGAUAUUACUCUCGGUGCAGUUUAAUUAAUGCGGCGGACCUGGAUGGGAUGACUUUCUCCCACUAUUUACUUGUUUAGUUAAUGAUCGGGGACGCAUCUUAACGCGCUAAUGUUUUCAUCCAUAACAUAAACCACGCUUGACGAUCGAUAAGCGGAGCGGAUCGAUAUUUUAUAAAUAAUGUGUGCCUGGUUCCGAAUAGAAAACAUUUUUCGAAUCUCCGGGUUUUCGAACAGCGGCAAGGUUCUUUUCUUCUUCUUCGUUUUUCUCGAAAGCUUCGGCACUCACUCUUUCGUCAACUCAUCAACCGUAAAAGAAACCCAAUGGCCCGUCGGUGAGUUGUUUGUAGUCAUGGAGAUGGCCGAGGUAAGAUUAUCGCCAACUUUAAUCUACACACACAUUUAUGUUAGGGUUCCCAUAAUGCCCCUUUCGGAAGAUUCUUUCUACCAUAAAUUAAAAAGGAAGUAGCCAAAAUAGCGAACUAAGCUUUCCUUUUCUGAACAUGUUGUCGACGAUGAAGAAUUGUCAACAUUCGAGUUGGACUUCCGCUAUCUUUGAGUUAACGUCAGAAAAACCCCUCGUUUAAUGCCCAAAAGAGAUCUGAAUGCUAUUUAUUUUCGUGUCAAUAAAUUGACCCUUCUUAUUACUUCAAAAAAAAGAAAGAAAAAAAAAAGAUUGAAGGGAUGAUUUCAAUAAAUUCU